rnacentral:rRNA from 1 species
UACGAAGGGGGCGAGCGUUGUUCGGAUUUACUGGGCGUAAAGGGCGCGCAGGCGGCGAUCUUUGUCAGGCGUGAAAGCCCCGGGCUUAACCUGGGAACUGCGCUUGGGACGGGAUUGCUGGAGACCGGGAGAGGAGAGUGGAAUUCCCAGUGUAGCGGUGAAAUGCGUAGAUAUUGGGAGGAACACCAGUGGCGAAGGCGGCUCACUGGACCGGUACUGACGCUGAUGCGCGAAAGCGUGGGGAGCAAACGGG